GCGCCCGUAGCUCAGUUGGAUAGAGCACCGGCCUUCUAAGCCGGGGGUCGUGCGUUCGAAUCGCACCGGGCGCGCCA
rnacentral:tRNA from 1 species